rnacentral:rRNA from 1 species
GACGAACGCUGGCGGCGUGCUUAACACAUGCAAGUCGAACGGAAAGGCCCUGCUUUUGUGGGGUGCUCGAGUGGCGAACGGGUGAGUAACACGUGAGUAACCUGCCCUUGACUUUGGGAUAACUUCAGGAAACUGGGGCUAAUACCGGAUAGGAGCUCCUGCUGCAUGGUGGGGGUUGGAAAGUUUCGGCGGUUGGGGAUGGACUCGCGGCUUAUCAGCUUGUUGGUGGGGUAGUGGCUUACCAAGGCUUUGACGGGUAGCCGGCCUGAGAGGGUGACCGGCGACAUUGGGACUGAGAUACGGACCAGAAUCCUACGGGAGGCAGCAGUGGGGAAUAUUGCACAAUGGGCGGAAGCCUGAUGCAGCAACGCCGCGUGCGGGAUGACGGCCUUCGGGUUGUAAACCGCUUUCGCCUGUGACGAAGCGUGAGUGACGGUAAUGGGUAAAGAAGCACCGGCUAACUACGUG